UAUUGAUGGAAUAAGUGAAUAUGUUUCGUAAUAGUCGAUACCGGCUGUUUUUUACUGAAAACCUCUGACGUGCUUUAGAUAGGAUUAUAAUUCCGUCGUGAUCUAUGAUUGAUGAAAAAAUGGGCUUGAAGUUGCCAAUAACUAGUCACAUUGGUUAUCUAAAUUGUAUUAAAAUGCUUGAUCUUGU